rnacentral:rRNA from 1 species
CGCGUAGGCGGUUAUUUAAGUUAGAUGUGAAAUCCCUGGGCUUAACCUAGGAACUGCAUCUGAUACUGGAUAGCUAGAGUGCAGUAGAGGGUAGUGGAAUUUCCGGUGUAGCGGUGAAAUGCGUAGAUAUCGGAAGGAACACCAGUGGCGAAGGCGGCUACCUGGACUGACACUGACGCUGAGGCGCGAGAGCGUGGGGAGCAAACAGGAUUAGAUACCCUGGUAGUCCACGCUGUAAACGAUGAGAACUAGAUGUUGGUAGGCUUGACCUAUUAGUAUCGAAGCUAACGCGAUAAGUUCUCCGCCUGGGGAGUACGGCCGCAAGGUUAAA